GCUGCGGGCCUGAGCGCUGGUCUCACGCGCCUCGGGAGCCAGGUUGGCGGCGCGAUGAGGCGCAGCAAGGCUGACGUGGAGCGGUACAUCGCCUCGGUGCAGGGCUCCACCCCGUCGCCUCGACAGAAGUCAAUGAAAGGAUUCUAUUUUGCAAAGCUGUAUUAUGAAGCUAAAGAAUAUGAUCUUGCUAAAAACGUUCAGUGGAAUUAAACCCAACACAAAAAGAUCUUGUGUUGAAGAUUGCAGAAUUGCUUUGUAAAAAUGAUGUUACUGAUGGAAGAGCAAAAUACUGGCUUGAAAGAGCAGCCAAACUUUUCCCAGGAAGUCCUGCAAUUUAUAAACUAAAGGAACAGCUUCUAGAUUGUGA
rnacentral:lncRNA from 1 species